ACUUUUACAGGAUAAAAGUGAUCCGUUGGUCUUAGGAACCGAAGAACUGGUGCAACUCCAGAUAAAAGUA
rnacentral:tRNA from 1 species